rnacentral:lncRNA from 1 species
AUUUAUUAUUUCAUAUUAGACAGGUAAAGAUUCAUGCAAAAAUAAAAAAAAUGUCAAGUAAUAAAAAGGCAAAGUAUUUGGAACAUGGUUUCUAUUUUUUGCACAAUUAAUUUUGGAAUCAAUAAAAUAAAAAUUAUACAUUCUUAAUUCUUAUUAUUAUUAUAUAUUAUAAAUAAAACUUAAAAAAAAUACAUAAAAAAAUCAAAAAUAAAAUCUGAAUGCGGAAACAACAGGGUAAGGCAUGGUGUGAGUGUUAUAUUGCGACACUAUGGAGAACGACUGUUUCGAUGGUAAGUCCGGGUCCAAAACCAAACAAAACACCCCAUUCAAGUCCUUCACCUGUUGUUUUAAGUCCCUUUUCAGCUGAUUUCCUCCUCAUCUCAUCCAAGAUGAAUAGCACACAUGCACUUGACAUGUUCCCAUAAUCACUCAGCACAUCUCUUGUGGCCUUCAUCUUUUCAGGUUUCAGACCCAACUUUUGCUCAACUUGGUCCAAAAUUGCAGGUCCACCAGGGUGUGCGAUCCAGAAGAUGGAGUUGUAAUCAGAGAUGUUCAAUGGGUUGAAGGCCUCAAAAAGUGCCUUUCCAAUGUUCUUUGAGACAAUCCCAGGAACAUCCUUAAGGAGGUGAAACGUGAGUCCAACUUCACGAAGGUGGCCAUCAAUAGCACCAUCACUGUCUGGAGCAAUGGUCUGUGCAGUCCAAACCAACUCAAACAAAGGCUUCUCAAUCUGUGGAAUUGGGUCAGAACCAACAAUCACUGCAGCUGCUCCAUCUNNNNNNNNNNNNNNNNNNNNNNNNNNNNNNNNNNNNNNNNNNNNNNNNNNNNNNNNNNNNNNNNNNNNNNNNNNNNNNNNNNNNNNNNNNNNNNNNNNNNNNNNNNNNNNNNNNNNNNNNNNNNNNNNNNNNNNNNNNNNNNNNNNNNNNNNNNNNNNNNNNNNNNNNNNNNNNNNNNNNNNNNNNNNNNNNNNNNNNNNNNNNNNNNNNNNNNNNNNNNNNNNNNNNNNNNNNNNNNNNNNNNNNNNNNNNNNNNNNNNNNNNNNNNNNNNNNNNNNNNNNNNNNNNNNNNNNNNNNNNNNNNNNNNNNNNNNNNNNNNNNNNNNNNNNNNNNNNNNNNNNNNNNNUACCACCACUAUGUCUUGCCUCGCAUCCAAAGAAGGUGCCAUGUAAGCACACAUGUUAGGAUUCUCCUUCAGUAUCUCCUCGUUCAGGUGCAUAUAUCUCUUCUUUAUCAUCGACUUAUCACCUGAAACAUUGUAAACCAAUAUGAAUGUUAAUCACCUUCAUUCAACAUCAUAAACUUGUUAGAUUUCUGAUUUUGGUAGAUAUGAGAAGAUGAGAGGACUUACACAUGCGCUGGAACUUCUCUUUGAGGUCGGUCAUGUGCUCACUGUUUGUGAUUCUGAAGUAGUAAUCGGGAUAUGUGCUCUGAUCAACACAGUUUGAUGGGGUUGCAGUUCCAAUGGCAAGGAUGUUUGCUGGGCCUUCUGCCCUUUGAGCCUGGCGGAUCUCGGAUACACUCACCAUCUUAAUUUUCUUGAAUAGAAUCAAUGAAGUGGUGAUGUUGACGAUGGUUUAGAACACGGAAUGAAGCACUGCGAUUUGGUUGACAGAUGAAAGAAGUGACCAAGUUCACAGCACUUGAGAGAUAGAGAGGGUUAUUGGUUUGGUUGCUGAAGUUGUGUGUUUGAAGAUGUUGGAGGAGGCAGCGUUUUAUAUGCAUGGAAGAGUGGAUAGGAAGUAGGGUGGGUGAGUAUCACGUGGAAAAAGGAAAGCCAUCUUACGUUGAAAACAUAUUUAUCAGUUUGGUGGCAUGUUUUAGAAGACCAUCUCAGCCACCAUAUAGCUCAUUGGUUCUUUUAUUUUUAUAUUUAUCAACCAAUAAUUGGUAAUAUUUUAUGCAUCUCUACCCUAUUAAAUUAGGUCCUGACACAGUAAAAUCCAUGCACUUCAUAUACCAAUAAACUAAUAUUUUAAUCAUAUUUUAUUUAUUUUUUAAUUUAAAAUAUUAUUAUUUCUUUUUUGUGUGUUUGUGAUAUUUGAGUCAACCUUGGUACGCAGCAAGAAAAGUCAAACACUUGUGCUGGUAGAUAACAUCUUAAAUUACAUCAACGGCCACAAACAAAUGAAACUAAAAUCUGUAUGUUUUCUACUUGGUUACACUGGAGGUCAUGAUCAAGCAUCAAUAACUUUAUAAACCCAUAAAAAAGUGUGGCCACUGAAUAUUGUAACUUAUAUUUCAAAUAAAGAAGUUGUUUCUUUAACAGUCAAGGUUGAGGAGCUACCUACCCAUUUUCUACCAUUAAAGCAUUUGUAGUUUGCUUGAUGAUAUUCUCUUUAUAAUAUAAGUUUUAGAUAACAUUCUUGUAUAUUUGUUGCUCUUAUUGGAUAAUAAGAGUAUCACCUAAACAUCUCAAGUGCAGCAAUAUGCUUUUCAAAAGUAACUAGAGAGUAAAAAGAAAUCAUAUACCUAUAAUAUAUACAGGUUAAUAAUAUAUGUACAAUUAUUUUAAUUAUGUCCUUACUAAUUCAAAGCAAUAGCUUUUACUUAUUAUCUAUUAUUUAUUUAUAAUUUUUAUUUGUAUAUACACUUUUAAAUAAAGUAAUAAAAUUAAAAUUAUUACUACAAAAAAAAGGAGUUUUAAGGGAGGAUAUUUAGCAAACCUUAAUAUAACCUUAGGAAUUGAUUUAGGUAACGAAUGUUUUUUUUAACCAUAACUAAGUUUCAAAGGUUAUUAUAAAACCUCAGCAAAGUAACUAAGGUUUUUUUAAUCUUAUUUAAGUUUCAAAGAUUAUUCUAAAACCUCAGCAAAGUAAUUGAGAUUUUUUUAAUUUUCGUUACAUUUUAAAGGUUUAUUUUAAAACCUCAUCAAAAUAAAUGAGGUUUCUUAACAUUCGUUAAAUUUCAAAGGUUUAUUUUAAAAUCUCAACAAAAUAACGGAGUUUUUUUUUAACUUUCGGUAAAUUUCAAAGGUUUAUUCUAAAACCUCAGCAAAAUAACGAACAUUUUUUUAAACUUCGUUAAAUUUCAAAGGUUUAUUCUUAAACUUCAACAAAAUAACAGAAGUUUUUUUAACCUUUGUUAAAUUUCAAAAAUUUAUUGUAGAACCUCAAUAAAACACUCUAGAUUUUUCGAACUUUAAUAAAUAAAUAUAAUUAAAUCUAUUUAUAAAUAAAUAAUUAAAAAUUAUAUAGUUUUAAUAUAUUUUAUAACUAAAUUCUCUAAAAUUUUGAAAGUGUAACUUUACAUUACAAAUAAGUUUUAUAAAGUUUCAAAAAUUUAUUUUAAAAACUCAGCAAAAUAACCUUGGAUAAUAAGUAUUUCAACAACUAAUCUUGGAUAAUAAGUAUUUCAAUGGUAUUUGCAUAUUUCUUAUGGUUGAUAGUAGUUGGUUUAUAUAAUUCCUAGUUUUUUUUGUCAGAAGCUCAUACUUCAAAAAAAUCUGAUUUAUUUUGUUUUAGCUUUUGAUGUAUGUAUAUUUUAUGUGCAAUUUUAGUUGUAGUUAUAAUUGUUAAUAUUUAAUUUUCAUAAUUUUGAAAUAUUUUAAAUUAAGGUCUUUAUUUUGAAAUGCAUCUAAUAAUUAAUUCAUUGUGAAAGUGAGAAGUAAUAAAGUUAAUUUCUCCUUGCAACAUGUUCUAGCAAUCUUUAGCCAAGAACACACAUGGCUAUGAAGCCCACAUCUGACAGAUAAUGCAAUUAUUUAGGAUAUAUAAAGCAGUGAUAAACAAUACUUGUUGUCGAGUUAGGUAACAAUGGCUUGUGACCCAAGUUGGGGCAGUAAGUGUAAGGUGAUUGAAGAAUCAAUAUUGGAUUAAGAAGAAGAUAGUGCCUUAUCUAGUGUUUCUUCUACUUAGAUAUAAUAAACAUAAGUGUGGCUGAAUUAUAAUUCCUUGUUAGGACUGUUGUUGGCAGCCAUUGAGUUUGACAGAUAAUGCAAUUAUUUAGGAUAUAUAAAGCAGUGAUAAACACUACUUGUUGUCGAGUUAGGUAACAAUAGCUUGUGACCCAAGUUGGGGCAGUAAGUGUAAGGUGAUUGAAGAAUCAAUAUUGGAUUAAGAAGAAGAUAGUGCCUUAUCUAGUGUUUCUCUCCUUAGAUAUAAUAAACAUAAGUGUGGCUGAAUUAUAAUUCCUUGUUAGGACUUUUGUUGGCAGCCAUUGAGUCUGUGCCAGAGAUCAGAAGGAUCGUUAGAGAUGGUGGAAAAUGUGGUUGAAGGUUAUUUCAAAAUGACAAGUCAAUUUACAAAAUUUUUGAAACUCAUGGUAUUUUACGGAGGUUUUGAAACUCAUGGUAUUUAACGGAGGUUUCUUAAACCCAUUGCUAUAUAAUAGGGUUCUGAAUGACUUUUCUUGAGGUUUAAAAAAACUCCAGGUAACACGUUCUCCAGGGAUGGUUUAGCGGGAAACUACAACCCUGGGUAAUGGCUUUAUAGAGGUUUUAACCCUGGAUAAUGUAAAAAUAACCUCUGUUAAAACCAAUUUUUCUUGUAGUAUAUUGAUGAAAAAAAAUCAUUAACAAUUAAAAAAUUAUUUAGAAAUUAAACUUAUUUUGAAAGAAAUUAUUUUUUCAAAAUUAUAUUGGGGUGUAAUUUAUUUAAUCUUUUUUAAAAGAUUAAAUUUAUUUGUAUUAAUAUUUAUUAUGUAAUUUUAUUUGUAUUUUUGUAACAGUAAUGAAUAAAUAAAUAUAUUUGAUUGACAACAUCAUUUUUUCUUUGUUAGUAUAUCUUUAAACUAUAUUGAAUCUUGUAGGUAAUCUAGGAUCAUAUGUGUGGCACAUAAAACCAGUUUCAUAGUUUGACCAUAUUUCUUUUUGUCCUGUAUUCUUUGACUCUGUCAUGGUUUAAGGCAAAAUUAUGUAAUUCUGUUGGGUUUACUUUGUUGUUGCUUUCCAGAGUCUAGUGUUGGUUUAUGCAGCUUUUGUAUUAUGAGUCCUUGUAUUUUUUGGUAUGCAAUGACAUUUAUGCAGUGUUUGGUAUGUUUUGUAGUUGGAAAAGAUGUUUUAUGCUUUUAUGCAUGUAAUAGUAACAAGGUAGUUUGACAACCUUUAGAGUUGUAUACAACUCUUCUUGAUAUAAUGAAUAUUAGGAGUUGUAAUGUAAUUGUAUAAAAAUUGUGCAUUGUCAAUGACUGAAUGACAUAUGCAAAGGGAAAAUGAUAGGUUGACAACUCCAAGAAUUGUAUACAACCUUGAUGUGAUGGAUUUAGAAAUAAAUAUAUAUAAUAAAAGGUAAAUUUAUAAUUAAAUGAUAUAAAAAACAUUAAAAUAGUAGUAUUGAGAGUUGUAAUGUGGUUGUAUAAAAUUUUGUUGUUUUCAAUGUAUCAUUACCAUAUGCAAAAUGCCAAACUCUUGUAUCUGGGAAGGGUUCUUAUAACAUCUGUGGUGGUUACUAUCUCUCUCCAGAUGGUGUUUUGGGAUGAGCUAUGAUAUUUUGAUAACUCAUUUUUUUACACCUAUCCUACAACUCUUAAUACUAUAUUAUAAUCUUUUUUCCUGGGUGAACACUCAUCCGUUUGACCUGAAAUCUGUCGUGUUUUAUCCCAAACUCAGUGAAGAUUCUUACGCGGAAUUUCAGGAAAAAACCAUUUCGGGAGAAUUUUUCAGAAGUUUUGUGCAAACCAAGGCGAUCUAGCAAAACUUGUGAAAUUUCGCCCUACUUUCUGCAAUUUUUUUCCGCGUCCGUAUUGCGCUGAAAAAAUUCACACAAGUACUUUCAUAUGUUGUUUACAUCCAGGUAAGGAGGCACAUCCAUAAACAAAUCACAGAAAGAAGAUACGGGGAAGAAAAGCCAGGACGUUUUGUUUUUGGAAAACCGAUUUUGUUCACUCUCGGUCUGGGACUUACUGCGCCUUACUCCUUGGGUAUUUUGGUCUGAAAUUUUUACCAAACAUUCGUAAUUGUGUCUAUUGAGUUUUAGCUGAUAUUUGAGCCCCAGACUCGUCUCACAAGAUUCGCAAUAAAUUUUUUAUUCAUCACUGCCCGGGCUGAGAGGAUAGCCUUGGUUUGUGUGUAAAACUGUUUGAUUUUUUUCCUGGUUGAAUACUCAUCCGUUUGACCUAAAUUCUUGUCGCGUUUCGUCCCAAACUUAGUGGAGAUUCUUACGCGGAAUUUUAGGAAAAAACCAUUUCGGGAGAAUUUUUCAGAAGUGUUGUGCAAACCAAGACUAUACUUUAGCAAAACUUGUGAAAUUUCGCCCUACUUUCUGCAAUUUUUUUUCCGGAUCCGUAUUGCAUUGAAAAAAUUCACACAACUACUUUCGUAUGUUGUUUGCACCCAGGUAAGGAGGCACGUGCAUAAACAAAUCACAGAAAGAAGAUACGGGGAAGAAAAACCAGGACGUUUUGUUUUCGGAAAACCGGUGUUGUUCACUCUCGGUAUGGGACUUACUUCGCCUUACUCCUUGGGUAUUUCGGUAUGAAAUUUUUACCAGUCAUUCGUCAUUGUGUCUAUUGAGUGUUGGCUGAGAUUUGAGGGCCAGACUCGUCCCACAAGUUUCGCAAUAAAUUUUUUAUUCAUCACUGUCCGGGCUGAAAUGAAGGUUUGUUUGUGUGUGAACUGUUUCAUUUUUUUCCUUGGUGAAUACUCAUAUGUUUGACCUGAUAUCUGCCGUGUUUUGUCCCAAACUCAAUGGAGAUUCUUACGCGGAAUUUCAGGAGAAAACCAUUUCGAGAGAAUUUUUUAAAAGUUUUGUGCAAACCAAGGCUAUCCUCUAGCAAAACUUGUGAGAUUUCGCCCUAGUUUCUGCAAUUUUCUUCCGGGUCCGUAUUGCGUUGAAAAAAUUCACACAAGUACUUUCGUAUGUUGUUUGCACCCAGGUAAAGAGGCACUUCCAUAAACAAAUCACAGAAAGAAGAUACGGGGAAGAAAAGCCAGGACGUUUUGUUUUCGGAAAACCGAUUUUGUUCACUCUCUGUCUGGGACUUACUGCGCCUUACUCCUUGGGUAUUUGGGCCUGAAAUUUUUACCAGACAUUCGUCAUUGUGUUUAUUGAGUUUUGGCUGUGAUUUGAGCCCAGACUCGUCCCACAAGAUUUGCAAUAAAUUUUUUAUUCAUUACUGCCUGGGCUGAGAGGAAGGUUUGUUUGUGAGUGAAACUGUUUGAUUUUUUUCCUGUGUGAAUACUCAUCCGUUUGACCUAAAAUCUGUCGCCUUUUGUCCCAAACUCAGUGGAGAUUCUUACGCGGAAUUUCAGGAAAAAACCAUUUUGGAAGAAUUUUUCAUAAGUUUUGUGCAAACCAAGGCUAUCAUCUACAAAACUUGUGAAAUUUCGCCCUACUUUCUACAAUUUAUUUCUGGGUCCGUAUUGCGCUGAAAAAAUUCACAGAAGUAUUUUCGUAUGUUGUUUGCACCCAGGUAAGGAGACACAUCCAUAAUCAAAUAUCAGAAAGAAGAUACGGAGAAGAAAAGCCAUGACGUUUUGUUUUCGGAGAACCGGUUUUGUUCACUCUUGGUCUGGGAAUUACUGCACCUUACUCCUUGGAUAUUAUGGUCUGAAAUUUUUACCAGACAUUCGUCAUUAUGUCUAUUGAGUUUGGGCUGAGAUUUGAGCCCCAGACUCCUCCCACAAGAUUCGCAAUAAAUUUUUUAUUCAUCACUGCCCGGACUGAAAGGAAAGUUCGUUUGUGUGUGAAACUGUUUGAUUUUUUUCCUGGGUGAAUACUCAUCCGUUUGACCUGAAAUUUGUCACGUUUAUUCCCAAACUCAGUGGAGAUUCUUACGCAGAAUUUGAGGAAAAAACUAUUUCGGGAGAAUUUUUCAGAAGUUUUGUGCAAACCAAGGCUUACAAAACUUGUGAAAUUUUGCCCUACUUUCUGCAAUUUUUUUCCGGGUCCGUAUUGCGCUUAAAAACUUCACACAAGUACUUUCGUAUGUUGUUUGCACCCAGGUAAGGAGGCACGUCCAUAAAUAAAUCACAGAAAGAAGAUACGGGGAAGAAAAGCCAGGAAGUUUUGUUUUCGGAAAACCGGUUUUGUUCACUCUCGGUCUGGGACUUACUGCACCUUACUCCUUGGGAAUUUUGGUCUAAAAUUUUUACCAGACAUUCAUCAUUGUGUCUAUUGAGUUUUGGCUGAGAUUUGAGCCCCAGACUCGUCUCACAAGAUUCGCAAUAAAUUUUUUAUUCAUCACUACCCGGACUGAAAGGAAAGUUCGUUUGUGUGUGAAACUGUUUGAUUUUUUUCCUGGGUGAAUACUCAUCCGUUUGACCUGAAAUUUGUCACGUUUAUUCCCAAAAUCAGUGGAGAUUCUUACGCGGAUUUUUAGGAAAAAACCAUUUCAUGAAUAUUUUUCAGUUUUGUGCAAACCAAGGCUAUCAUAAACUUGUAUAAGGGUGUGUUUUUGGGUGUGUUUUUGUUAUAGGUGUUUGGUAGGUCCAUGUUCUUAUGGAUUUUGUCUUUUUGGGUUUUCAUGACAAUUCUUUAUUCGAUUGUGUUUUGGGGAGCUUUGUGAAUGUUUUUAUUUAAAAUGUUAGAAUAUCUUUUAAAUACUUUUUUUUAAUAAAAAAAAGAUUUGAAACAUUUAAAUAAUGAUUCAAGCUCUAUACAAAAGAGUUAACUAAGGUAGUAUAUUCUAAAAAAAUAAACUUAAAGAUCAUGUUGCCACCGAAAAAGAUAUAGGACUCACAACUAGUUACAACCAAGGUCUCUUAGAAAAACACAAAAAUUAUCCCAAAUUUAAUUACUAUAAAAGAUGAAUAAAAUUAAAAUAAUAUAAAGAAAUAAUAAAAUAAUUAACACCAUCUAAUAAACCAAAUAAGUGCAAGGUUUGAAAUAAAAACUGAAUUUAGUUAAUAAAAUUCAAUAAAUACAAGAUGUGAAAUAAAAACUGAAUUAAGUUAAUAAAACUCAAUAAUGAUUAUUAUAAAUAAGUGAUUUGUUUAAUAUGAUAAAAGUAAAAGUCCGUUAGUUAAUAAAAUCAAAUAAUGAACAUUAUAAAUCAUAAAUAGGUGAUGUGUUUUUGUAUUUUUUAACAUUAAUUAAAUAAACUUUUAUUAUCAGAACACUUUGCACGUAUAUCUCACGUAUAUCUCCCCAAUCCAAAGAAAUCCAACAGUCAAGAGUAAACCCAAAACCUACUUACUUAGGUACAGUAAGAACACAAGUAAUUUCUGAAUCAAUAAAAUUGCAAUUUUUUUAUUAUAUUAUAACUAUUCUUUUCUGUAUUAUAAAUACAAUUAUUAAUUUAAUAAAAAAGUUAAAAAUAAAAUCUGAAUGCGGAAACAAUAGGGUAGGCCAUGGUGACUUUUAUAUUGAGACACUGUGGAGAACAACAGUCUCAAUGGUAAGUCCAGGUCCAAAACCAAACAAGACACCCCAUUCAAGUCCUUCACCUGUCGUUUUAAGUCCAUUUUCAGCUGAUUUCCUCCUCAUUUCAUCCAAGAUGAAUAGCACACAUGCACUUGACAUGUUCCCAUAAUCACUCAGCACAUCUCUAGUGGCCUUCAUCUUUUCAGGUUUCAGAUCCAACUUUUGCUCAACUUGGUCCAGAAUUGCAGGUCCACCAGGGUGUGCAAUCCAGAAGAUGGAGUUGUAAUCAGAGAUGUUCAAUGGGUUGAAGGCCUCAAAAAGUGCCUUUCCAAUGUUCUUUGAGACAAUCCCAGGAACAUCCUUAAGGAGGUGAAACGUGAGUCCAACUUCACGAAGGUGGCCAUCAAUAGCACCAUCACUGUCUGGAGCAAUGGUCUGUGCAGUCCAAACCAACUCAAACAAAGGCUUCUCAAUCUGUGGAACAGGAUCAGAACCAACAAUCACUGCAGCUGCUCCAUCUCCAAACAAUGCCUGUCCCACAAGACUGUCUAGGUGGGUGUCACUUGGCCCACGGAAGGUGACUGCAGUGAUCUCAGAACACACCACAAGCACACGGGCACCCUUGUUGUUCUCAGCCAAAUCCUUGGCCAAUCGAAGAACCGUGCCUCCUGCAAAGCAUCCUUGUUGGUACAUCAUGUNNNNNNNNNNNNNNNNNNNNNNNNNNNNNNNNNNNNNNNNNNNNNNNNNNNNNNNNNNNNNNNNNNNNNNNNNNNNNNNNNNNNNNNNNNNNNNNNNNNNGUUUGGUGAGCUGGUAAUCAGCACCAGGCAUGUCCACGCCACUGGUGGUGCAAAAUAUCAAGUGUGUAAUCUUUGACUUUGGCUGCCCCCACUCCUUUAUGGCCUUCACUGCAGCCUCUUUCCCUAGCUUUGGUACUUCUACCACCACUAUGUCUUGCCUCGCAUCCAAAGAAGGUGCCAUGUAAGCACACAUGUUAGGAUUCUCCUUCAGUAUCUCCUCGUUCAGGUGCAUAUAUCUCUUCUUUAUCAUCGACUUAUCACCUGAAACAUUGUAAACCAAUAUGAAUGUUAAUCAUCUUCAUUCAACAUCGUAAACUUGUUAAAUUUAGGAUUUUGGUAGAUAUGAGAAGAUGAGAGGACUUACACAUGCGCUGGAACUUCUCUUUGAGGUCGGUCAUGUGCUCACUGUUUGUGAUUCUGAAGUAGUAAUCGGGAUACGUGCUCUGAUCAACACAGUUAGAUGGGGUUGCAGUUCCAAUGGCAAGGAUGGUUGCUGGGCCUUCUGCCCUUUGAGCCUGGCGGAUCUCGGAUACACUCACCAUCUUAGUUUUCUUGAAUAGAACCAAUGAAGUGGUGAUGUUGACGAUGGUUUAGAACACUGCGACUUGGUUUACAGAUGAAAGAAGUGGCCAAGUUCACAGGACCUGAGAGGGUUGUUGGUUUGGUUGCUGAAGUUGUGUGUUUGAAGAUGUUGGAGGAGUUAGCGUUUUAUAUGCAUGGAAGAGUGGAUAGGAAGGUGGAUGGGUGAGUAUCACGUGCAAAAUGGAAAGCCAUCUCAAGUUGAAAACAAUUUUUAUCAACAAAAAUAAAAUUAAAUUAAAGAGACACUUUAGUAAUGUCCAAACCUUGUAGAAGCUACAUAAAAUUCUACACACGCUAAAAUUCUACACACGCCAGUAUUAAAGAGCUAAAACAGAAAACAGAUUCAAGGUUCCUACAUAAAUUACAGCAGAGAUGCCAAACAAUAUAUUCCAACCUAACAACAGGGUGAUUCUUCCUAUGAUUUCCAUCCUUCAACUCAUUACUCCACCUAAGAAGAAAUCACCUUCACACUUGUGGGCCAUAGUUGUAAAUCCCUAACACAAGCCCAUCCCAUUCUCCUUUAGAAAAUAUGAUGUUGUAAAACUCCACUAACACCUUCUUGAAGCGGUCCAGAUAGACAUUACCUCACUUCUUAAGUUUUUGCAGCUUUAGCAUACUACUUUGGCUCAUGCUAAGGUUUACACCUCAAAAGCUAAACACCAGAACUUAAAAGGCAUGCAUAGAGCACCGCUAAUGCUUCUUUGUAACAAGAGAGGAUGCCUACAAAACCUAACACUGCCUUCAUAUUGGAACCUGACACUGAUAUUUUAUGCAUCUCUACCCUAUUAAAUUAGUCUAUCACAGCUAUUUGCUUGGUUCUUUUUGUGUGUUUGUGAUGUUUGAGUCAACCCUGGUAGCGCAGCAAGAAAAGUAUAUAGCUCUUGUGGUGGUAGGUAGCAUCUUAAAUUUCAUCAACGGCCACAAACAAAUGAAACUAAAAUCUAUGUGUAGAGUUGCGCCAUGUCAUGGGUAUGACUUUCCAGUGUUUUGGAUGGCACACCACUUCCUCUUCCUAUAUUUGACUCUAUGUUUUCUACUUGGUUACAUUGCAGGUCAUGGUCAAGCAUUAAUGAGCUUUAUAAACCCAUAAAAAAGUGUGGCCACUGAAUAUUGUAACUUAUAUUUCAAAUAAAGAAGUUGAUUCUUUAACAGUCAAGGUUGAGGAGCUACCUACCCAUUUUCUACCAUUAAAGCAUUUGUAGUUUGCUUGAUGAUCUUCUAUUUAUAAUAUAAGUUUUAGAUAACAUUCUUGUAUAUUUGUUGAUCUUAAACAUCUCAGGUGCAUUUUAUCUAAAUGAAUAAGAAAUAUGCUUUUCAAAAGUAACUAGAGUAAAAAGAAAUCAUAUACCUAUAAUACAUACACCUUAAUAAUAUGUACAAUUAUUUUAAUUAUGUCCUUACUAACUCAAAGCAAUAGCAUUUACUUGUUAUCUAUUAUUUAUUUAUAAUUUUUAUUUGGAUAUACAGUUUUAAAUAAAGUAAUAAAAUUAAAAUUAUCACUAAAAAAAAAAGUUUUAAGAGAGAGGAUAUUUAACUAACCUUAAUAUAAUCCUAGGAAUUGAUUGAAUUAAUGAAGGUUUUUUUAAUCAUGGUUAGUUUCAAAAAUUAUUCUAAAUCCUCAGCAAAGUAAUGAAAGUGUUUUUUAAUCUUGGUUAAGUUUCAAAGAUUAUUCUAAAACUUCAGCAAAGUAACGAAAGUUUUUUUAACUUUCGUUACAUUUCAAAGGUUUAUUUUAAAACCUUAGCAAAAUAAAGGAGGUUUCUUAACCUUCUUUAAAUUUCAAAGGUUUAUUCUAAAACCUCAAUAAAAUAACGAAUGUUUUUUUAACCUUCGUUAAAUUUCAAAAAUUUAUUGUAAAACCUCAAUAAAACACUCUAGAUUUUUCAAACUUUAAUAAAUAAAUAUAAUUAAAUCUAUUUAUAAAUAAAUAAUUAAAAAUGAUAUAGUUUUAAUAUAUUUUAUAACUAAAUUCUCUAAAUUUUCAAAAAUUUAUUUUAAAAACUUAGCAAAAUAACCUUGGUUAAUAAGUAUUUCAACAACUAAUCUUGGAUAAUAAGUAUUUCAACGGUAUUUGGAUAUUUCUUAUGGUUGAUAGUAGUUGGUUUAUAUAAUUGCUAGUUUUUUUUUGUUAUGAGCUCAUACUUCAAAAAAAUCUGACUUAUUUUAUUUUAGCUUUUGAUGAAUGUAUAUUUUAUGUGCAAUUUUAGUUGUAGUUAUAAUUGUUAAUAUUUAAUUUUCAUAAUUUUGAAAUAUUUUAAAUUAAGGUCUUUAAUUUAAAAUGCAUCUAAUAACUAAUUCAUUGUGAAAGUGAGAAGUAAUAAAGUUAAUUUCUCCUUGCAAUAUGCAAUAUGUUCUUGCAAUAUUUAAAGCCCACAUCUGACAUAUAAUGCAAUUAUUUAGGAUAUAUAAAGCAGUGAUAAACACUAAUUGUUGUCGAGUUAGGUUAUAAUGACUUGUGACCCAAGUUGGGGCAGUAAGUGUAAGGUGAUGGAAGAAUCAAUAUUGGAAUAAGAAGAAGAUAGUGCCUUAUCUAGUGUUUCUUGUCCUUAGAUAUAAUAGACAUAAGUGUGGCUGAAUUAUAAUUCCUUGUUAGGACUGUUGUUGACAACCAUUGAGUCUGUGCCAGAUAGCAGUGUGUAUACGGUAGAAGAGAGAAGUCAGAAGGAUCGUUAAAAAUGGUGGAAAAUGGGGUUGAAGGUUAUUUCAAAAUCACAAGUCAUUUUACAAUUUUUUUGAAACUCAUGGUAUUUUACAGAGGUUUUCAAAACUUGUGGUAUUUAAUGGAGGUUUUGAAACUCAUGGUAUUUAACGGAGGUUUUUAAACCCAUGGUAUUUUAUAGAGGUUCUUAAACCCAUUGGUAUUUAACAGGGUUCUGAAUGACUUUUCCUGAGUUUUAAAAAAACCCUGGGUAAUGGGUAACAUGUUUUCCAGGGAUGGUUUAGCGGAGGAACUACAACCCUAGAUAAUGGCUUAAUAAAGGUUUUAACCCUGGAUAAUGUAAAAAUAAACUCCUGGUAAAACCAAUAUAUUGAUGAAAAAAAUCAUUAACAAUUAAAAAAUUAUUUAGAAAUUAAACGUAUUUUGAAAGAAAUUAAUUUUUCAAAAUUAUGUUGGGGUGUAAUUUAUUUAAUAUUUUUUAAAAGAUUAAAUUUAUUUGUAUUAAUAUUUAUUAUGUAAUUGUAUUUGUAUUUUUGUAACAGUAAUGAAUAAAUAAAUAGAUUUGAUUGACAACGUCAUUUUUUCUUUGUUAGUAUAUCUUUAAACUGUAUUGAAUCUUGUAGGUAAUCUAGGAUUAUAUGUGUGGGACAUAAAACCAGUUUCAUAGUUUGACCAUAUUUCUUUUUGUCCUGUAUUUCUUUGACUCUGUCACGGUUUAAGGCAAGAUUAUGUAAUUCUGUUGGGUUUACUUUUGUUGUUGCUUUCCAGAGUCUAGUGUUGGUUUAUGUUGCCAGGCUUUUGUAUUAUGAGUCCUUGUAUAUUUUGGUAUGCAACGACAUUUAUGCAGUGUUUGGUCUGUUUUUUAGUUGGAAAAGGUGUUCUAUGCUUUUAUGCAGGUAAUAGGAUUAAAGCGUGUUUGGAAUCAUCGUCAGUGUUUGGUAUGUUUUUUAGUUGGAAAAGGUGUUCUAUGCUUUUAUGCAGGUAAUAGGAUUAAAGCGUGUUUGGAAUCAGCGUCAGUAUCAAUUCUUGUAAAUGGGAGUCCCACUAAGGAGUUUAUUCCAAAGAAGGGGUUGAAACAAGGCGAUCAUUUAACUCCGUUCUUGUUUCUGAUAGCGCCUGAAGGUCUAGCAGGAGUGUCUAGGACUACGGUUGAGAAAGAUCUGGUGGAAGGCUUGGAGAUUGGGAAAAAGAUGGUAAAGAUAAAUAUGCUCCAGUACGUUGAUGACACCUUGGUUUUUUGUAAGGCAAAUAUCAAAAGUAUUUUCAACAUAAAGGUUAUGCUGAACUGUUUUGAGUUGGCAUCCGGCCUUAAGGUGAAUUUUUUCAAGAGUAGACUUGGAGGAGUGGGGGUGGAUCAGAAGGAGGUUCUACGUUUCGCUACAAUCUUAAAUUGCGAGGUGACGAAAACUCCUUUUAAAUAUUUGGGGAUGCUAGUAGGGGGUGUCAUAAGAGGGGUGUGUUUUGGGAUGAAGUGGUCAAUAGAAUAAAAACCAGGUUAUGAAGGUGGAAGGGCAGAUACAUUUCAUUGGCAUGGAGGAUAUGUUUGAUUAAGUCGGUUCUUUCUUCAAUACCUUUGUUCUAUCUUUCGAUUUUCAAGGUACCAUCUACGGUGUUGAAGAAAAUUGUGUGCAUACAGAGAAAUUUUUUGUGGGGUUGGGGGUCAGAAGGGCGGAAGAUAGCUUGGGUUGCUUGGGACAAGGUCUGUAAAUCCAGGGAAGCGGAUGGACUCGGUAUUUUAAAUGUGAGGAGAUUUAAUUUGGCUUUGUUGGGAAAGUGGAUUUGGCGUUUGAAUUCGGACAAGGGGGAUUGUGGAGGGAGGUCAUCGAUUCUAAAUAUGGAGGAUGGAGAGGUCUAAAGGAGCAGCAAACAAAUAAUAGCAAGGUUUCCUUGUGGUGGAAUGAUUUGACAAAGGUCUGGAGGUCCGAAGAAUGGGGAGGGAAGUUCGAAGACUGUUGGAAAUGGGAGGUAGGAAACAGAAGAAAUGUCUCGUUUUGGUCAGAUAGUUGGGUGAUCUCCGGAGAUCUAAAAAGUAGAUUUUCGAGGCUAUUCUCUUUGUCUGAAUCUAAGGAGGCAAAUCUAUGUGACUGCGGGAUAUGGGUCAACGGGGUCUGGGAGUGGAAAUUAAGGUGGAGGAGAAUUUUCUUUACUUGGGAGGAGGAACAAGCACGUCAGCUUCUAGAGAAGAUUUCCAACAAGCGACUCAAGUUGGAAAUAGGGGACAAAUGGGUUUGGAAAGAUAGUGAGACAGAAGGGUAUUCAGUUAAGUCAGCUUACGAAAUUUUAAGGGGUGAGAGAGGCGAGGAAGACUCAAGAUUGUACAAGUUUUUCUGGAAGAUUAAGGCGCUUCCUUCGGCUCACGUAACAACUUGGAGGGUGAUUGAAAAUAGAGUUGCUUCUAAGGUAAAUUUGGAGAGACGAGGGAUAGGGGUCAAGAGCAAUCUUUGCAUUUUUUGUAGAACGUCAGAGGAGUCAACGGAACAUCUGUGUUUUGGAUGUAGAGUCGUUUGGCUAGUUUGGAAUCUUUGCUAUGACUAGUUAGGAGUGAGCUCAGUCGACCUUAUGGACCCGGGACAACAUUUCAAACAGUUCAAAAUUUUGGAUGCGUCUUGUUCAGUCAAUCUUAUUAUGGGUAAUAUCUGGAUAGCAUUGGUUAGCGAGAUUUGGAGAUACAGGAAUAACUGCUUAUUUAAAGGUGGAGUGGUUGAUCACACAGAGGUUUUUUCAUUGGCACAGGUUAAGGUCUGGUCUUGGAUCUCAUCGAAGAUACGGUCAGUGAGUUUCUCGUUCUAUGAUUGGUGUCUAGAGCCCUUGGUAUGUAUGAAUUUUAUCUAAAGUCUCUAAGGGAUGAUCCUUGAUUUUUCUAUUUGUAGUGACAGGGUUGGUGUAAUUGGGAAAGGUAUGUUUUGAACUUUUUGUUUUCUGUAUAAGGGUUGUACCACCCCUGAAGUGGUCCUUUAAUUUUAUUGCUUCUUGCCGAUAAAAAAAAGAGUAUAACAAGGUAGUUUGACAACCUUUAGAGUUGUAUACAACUCUUGAUAUAAUGGAUAUUAGGAGUUGUAAUGUAAUUGUAUAAAAAUUGUGGAUUAUCAAUGACUGAAUGACAUAUGCAAAGUGCCAAACACUUGUAUCUGGGAUGGGUUCUUCUUCUGCAACAGAUGUAUAACAUGUGUGGUGGUUACUACCUCUCUCCAGAGGGUGUUUUGGGAUGAGCUAUGAUAUUUUGAUAACUCAUUUUUUUUACACAUAUCCUACAACUCAUUUGUUUGGUGUUUUAAACAUUUGAUUGGUAGAUUCAGUGUGCCAUUUUCUGGAAGAUACUUAUAAGUUUGUAUAAGGGUUCUUUUUUGUUAUAGGUUGUGGGUAGGUCCAUGUUCUUAAGGAUUGUUUUUUUGGGUUUUCAUGACAAUUCUUUAUUAGAUUGUGCUUUGGGGAGCUUUUUGAAUGAUUUUUAUGAAGGGUUAGGAUGUCUCUUAAAUACCUCUUUUUAUUCAUUUUAUUCUUUGUUAAUGAAAAAAGAAUUGAAACAUUUAAAGAAUGUUUCAACCUCUAUAAGAGUUAGCUAAGGUAGUAAUUUCUAAAAGAAUAAGCUUAAAGAUCAUCUCGCCAUCGAAAAGAUAUACAUCUCACACUAACCAAAGUCUCUCAGAAAAACACAAAAAUUGUCCCAAGUUCAAUUACAAUUGAGUAUGGUAAAUGAUCCUUACCACUUAUAAAAAUCCUUCUAUCGCACAAAAUAUUUGGCACAUGCUUUCUUAAACAAGUUGUACUGACUAGGUUAAAAAACCGUUAGAAUAUUAAAAGAUGAAUAAAGUUAGAAUAAUAUAAAGAAAUAAUAAAAUAGUUAACAUUGUAUCAAUGCCCAAUGAAUAAGCCAAAAACACUAAAAAUACAUUUAGUAAGUGCAAGGUGUGAAAUAAAAACUGAAUUAAGUUAAUAAAACUCAAUAAUGAUCACUAUAAAUAGGUGAUUUGUUUAACCGGAUAAAAGUAAAAGCCUAAUUAAGUUAAUAAAGUCAAUUAAUGAGCACCAUAAAUAUGUGAUAGGUUUUUUACAUUAAUUAAGCAAGUUGAUUAUGAUUUUAUCAUCGGAAGGUACACCUACCAAAUCGAAAGUGAGCUCAAAUCCAUCAGGCAAGAGUAAGACCAAAACCAACCAAGAGAGAAUCCAUGUCUAGUAGGUAUGGUAACUGAAAGUGAGUCCAAGUCCAUAUGACCAAAAGAUAGUUCAAGUUAACUUAUCCAAUAACCAGAAGUCCAAGUUGUUAACGAGAGACCGGAAAAUCGGGAGGAGGAAAAAAAGAAAACUUAGAUAAGAACACAAGUAAUUUUCGAAUCAAUAAAAUUGCAAAUUAUUAUUUUGUAAUAUUAUAACUCUUAUUUUCUGUAUUAUAAAUACAAUUAUUAAUCUGAUAAAAAAGUCAAAAAUAAAAUCUCAAUGCGGAAACAAUAGGGUAGAGCAUGGUGUGGGUGUUAUACUGCGACACUGUGGAGAACAACGGUCUCAAUGGUAAGUCCAGGUCCAAAACCAAACAAAACACCCCAUUCAAGUCCUUCACCUGUCGUUUUAAGUCCAUUUUCAACUGAUUUCCUCCUCAUCUCAUCCAAGAUGAAUAGCACACAUGCACUUGACAUGUUCCCAUAAUCACUCAGCACAUCUCUAGUGGCCUUCAUCUUUUCAGGUUUCAGACCCAACUUUUGCUCAACUUGGUCCAGAAUUGCAGGUCCACCAGGGUGUGCAAUCCAGAAGAUGGAGUUGUAAUCAGAUAUGUUCAAUGGGUUGAAGGCCUCAAAAAGUGCCUUUCCAAUGUUCUUUGAGACAAUCCCAGGAACAUCCUUAAGGAGGUGAAACGUGAGUCCAACUUCACGAAGGUGACCAUCAAUAGCACCAUCACUGUCUGGAGCAAUGGUCUGUGCAGUCCAAACCAACUCAAACAAAGGCUUCUCAAUCUGUGGAAUUGGGUCAGAACCAACAAUCACUGCAGNNNNNNNNNNNNNNNNNNNNNNNNNNNNNNNNNNNNNNNNNNNNNNNNNNNNNNNNNNNNNNNNNNNNNNNNNNNNNNNNNNNNNNNNNNNNNNNNNNNNAGACUGUCUAGGUGGGUGUCACUUGGCCCACGGAAAGUCACUGCAGUGAUCUCAGAACACACCACAAGCACACGGGCACCCUUGUUGUUCUCAGCCAAAUCCUUGGCCAUUCGAAGAACCGUGCCUCCUGCAAAGCAUCCUUGUUGGUACAUCAUGUACCUCUUCACAUAGGGCCGAAGUCCCAAGAGUUUGGUGAGCUGGUAAUCAGCACCAGGCAUGUCCACACCACUGGUGGUGCAAAAUAUCAAGUGUGUAAUCUUUGACUUUGGCUGUCCCCACUCCUUUAUGGCCUUGACUGCAGCUUCUUUCCCUAGCUUUGGUACCUCUACCACCACUAUGUCUUGCCUCGCAUCCAAAGAAGGUGCCAUGUAAGCACACAUGUUAGGAUUCUCCUUCAGUAUCUCCUCGUUCAGGUGCAUAUAUCUCUUCUUUAUCAUCGACUUAUCACCUGAAACAUUGUAAACCAAUAUGAAUGUUAAUCACCUUCAUUCAACAUCAUAAACUUGUUAGAUUUCUGAUUUUGGUAGAUAUGAGAAGAUGAGAGGACUUACACAUGCGCUGGAACUUCUCUUUGAGGUCGGUCAUGUGCUCACUGUUUGUGAUUCUGAAGUAGUAAUCGGGAUAUGUGCUCUGAUCAACACAGUUAGAUGGGGUUGCAGUUCCAAUGGCAAGGAUGGUUGCUGGGCCUUCUGCCCUUUGAGCCUGGCGGAUCUCGGAUACACUCACCAUCUUAGUUUUCUUGAAUAGAAGUAAUGAAGUGGUGAUGUUGACAAUGGUUUAGAACACGGAAUGAAGCACUGCGAUUUGGUUGACAGAUGAAAGAAGUGACCAAGUUCACAGCACUUGAGUGGUAGAGAGGGUUCUUGGUUUGGUUGCUGAAGUUUGUGUGUUUGAAGAUGUUGGAGGAGUUAGCGUUUUAUAUGCACGGAAGAGUGGAUAGGAAGUAGGGUGGGUGAGUAUCACGUGCAAAAAGGAAAGCCAUCUUAGUUGAAAUCAUUUUUAUCGGUUUGGUGGCAUGUUAUAGAAGACCAUCUCAGCCACCAUAUAACUCAUUGGUCAUUGGUGAUAUUUUAUGCAUCUCUACCCUAUUAAAUUAGUCUAUCACAGCUAUUUGGUUGGAUCUUUUUGUGUGUUUGUGAUGUUUGAGUCAACCUUGGUAGCGCAGCAAGAAAAGUAUAGCUCUUGUGGUGGUAUGUAGCAUCUUAAAUUACAUCAACGGCCACAAACAAAUGAAACUAAAAUCUAUGUGUAGAUUUGUGCCAUGUCAUGGGGUAUGACUAUCCAGUUUUUUGAUGGCACACCACUUCCUCUUCCUAUAUUUGACUCUAUGUUUUCUACUUGGUUACACUGGAGGUCAUGGUCAAGCAUCAAUGAGCAUUAUAAACCCAUAAAAAAGUGUGGCAACUGAAUAUUGUAACUUAUAUUUCAAAUAAAGAAGUUGAUUCUUUAACAGUCAAGGUUGAGGAGCUACCUACCCAUUUUCUACCAUUAAAGCAUUUGUAAUUUGCUUGAUGAUCUUCUCUUUAUAAUAUAAGUUUUAGAUAUCAUUCUUGUAUAUUGUUGAUCUUACUGGAUAAUAAGAGUAUCGCCUAAACAUCUCAAGUGAAAAAAAAUUGUAGAUAUUUUUUUCUCCUUAUCUCAUGGAUAGUGGGGACAAAUGUUGUAGUGAUGAGAGUAUUAUUGAACAAAUUUAAAAUAAAAUUUUACAUAUAUUGUCAUUGAAAAAUGUUAUAUAAUUACCAUCACAAAUUCAUUAUAAAAUAUUCAUCGUGAAAAGUUAAUUAAUUGUGCGUACGUUUCAUUAGAACUAGGUGUUACACUAUAUUUUUAUGAUUAUUAAAAAAAUAAAUUCAUGAAAGUAUUUUUAAGGGAUAUUACAACUCUAAGAAAUUACCAAAGGAUAUCUAUCAAAAUAUCUAAUCCCAAUUCAUAUACUCACAUCCAAAUCCACCUGAUGCAAAUAAACAUUUGCCCAAAAAUUAAACAGUUUCAAGAAAGACUACCAUAAACAAAAUAUAAAAUCUGCCAAAGCUGAAUAAAAAAAGGUGUAUCCCCAAAGUAAAAAUAAAUGAGAACAUCUGAUACAUUUAUUGGGAAUUUCUCUGAAAUCACAUUAUUGAUUUGAGCAACUACUACAAUAAUUAGGUCUAAUAUUAUGCAGUAGGACAUUGUAUUUUAUGCAAUAGACACAUAAUUUCUUCGCUCGUUCCUUAGAAUAUAUGUAUAUAUAUAUAUAAGAUAUUUUUUUAUUAAAGUAUGUUCCUAUACUGGUGUGAAUUUUGAUCUGAAAUUUAUGAACACCCUUAUUAUAUAUAUCCACUCAGGUUCAAAACCUAGGAUGAUUCGAAUGACUCAUACUUUUCCUAACUGUCGUCCCUUUUUAUUUUAUACACCCCAGCUUUUAAUUUCUUGUAAAUGUAUAUAUAUAAUAAAUAUUUUAAACAAAAUUAUUUGUUAAAAAUAAAACUAUAUCUAGUACUAAAUUUUUUAUGAGAAUUUAGUUAUUUUGAAAAUUCUAAAAUUAUUAUUAAUUAGUACAAAUUUUUUUCAGAACCCCUCUCUUAUAUAUUCCCACUCCCAGAAAUUUACUAUUUCACUGUAUUCUUCAUAUAUCUACACCAUAUUUCGUAAAACUUGGGCCCAUUCAUCUUGCCCAUAAUUUUUCCUAUCUGCAUCUUAUUAUACAUGCAGUCAGUUGACUAUUUCUUCCUGCACCUCCAUAUCUUCUUCUGCCACCUCCAUACGCAACAUAAAAAUACAUUUUUGUCCUUCUUGUGUCACCCCCAUGUUUCCAGAUUAUGUAAGUCGAAAACUCAUUUGAAAAAAGAAUUCCGGAUUACAUAAUCCAGAAGUUAAAUAAGACUUCGGGAUUAUGUGAUCCGGAGAAUAAUCAUGCAUAUGAAAAAUGGCUUCCAGAUUAUGUAAUCCAGUAGCUAAUUACAAAUUUGAAAAAUGACUUCCGAAUUACGUAAUUUGGAAUAUUAUAAAAGGGCAUUUUUGGAAAUUUGAAAACUUGUGGAGGUGAGAGAAGAAGGUAUGGAGGUGCAGGAAGAAACAGUCCAGUCAGUUUAAAAUCUGGGUUGAUUAAACUGGCCCUUCAAAUUUUCUAUCUGCCACCACUAUUUCUUUUAUACACCAACCAGCUUUUAAUUUCUUUAUAUAUAUAUUAUAAAUAUUUCAAACAAUAUAAUUUGUUAAAAAAAAACUAUAUCAAGUUCUAAAUUUUAAUGAGAAUUUAUAUAUUUUAACAAAUCUAAAUUAUUACUAAUAAGGCUUCGGCCAUUCAACUAGCCCGUGAUUUUUCCGAUCUGCAACACCCUUAUUGUGGAUGCACUCAGUUUUAAAACCUGGGCUGAUUCAUUUGGGCCAUCAAUUCUCCUAUCUGCCACGCCUAUUAUUUUCUACACCACCAGCUUUUAAUAUGUUUUUUAAAAAUAUAUAUAAUAAAUAUUUAAAACAAAAUAAUUUGUUAAAAUAAAAAAUAAAUUAAGUACUAAAUUUUUAUACAAAAAUAAAUUAUUUUAACUUAAAUUAUUACUAAACAGUACAAAUACUUUUCAAACCCUCUCUCUUUGAUAUUCCCACCCAAACACUUUUUUAUUUGGACCAUAUACUUCAUAUAUCUGAAUCAUGUUUGUUAACAUUGGGCCUGUUCAAUUGGGCCACAUGUUUGCAUAUUUUCCCCACCGUUAUUAUAUAUCCACUUUGUUUUGAAACUCGGGCUGAUUCAACUGGCCCAUCACUUUUCUUAUCUCCCACCCCUGUUUAUUUUAUAAACCCAUUAGCUUUUAAUUUCUUAUAUAUAUAUAUAUUAAACAAAAUAAUAUGUUACAAAAAAAACUAUAUCCAGUACUAAAUUGUUAAUGAGAAUUUAUUUAUUUUGAAAAUCUAAAAUUGUUACUAAUCAGUACAAAUACUUUUCAGACCCUCUCUUUCAUAUGUCCACCUCCAAUACUUUGCUAUCUGCAUCGUAUAUUUCAUAUAUCUACACCGGGUUUUGUCAAGCUGCGGCCCAUUCAACUAGCCCAUGUUGUUUCUAUCUGCACCACCCUUAUUAUCUCAGAUUUAAGACCUGAGUUGAUUGCACUCGCCCAUCUCUUUUCUUAUCUGCCUCCGCUGUUUAUUUUGUACCCACCAGCUAUAAUUUCUUUUAAAAAUAUUUAUAUAGAAUAAAUAUUUUUUUGUAAUAAUUUGUUAAAAAAUAACUAUAUCCAGUAGUAAAUUUUUAAUGAGAAUUUAAUUAUCUUGAAAAAUCUAAAAUUAUUACUAGUACAAAUACUUUUCACACCCUCUCUCUUUGAUAUUCCCAUUUCCGGCCCAUUACUAUUUGCACCAUAUACUUCAUAUAUCUGCCCAUGUUUUGUUAUGCUUGGGCCCAUUCACCUGGCCGACGAUAUUUCGUAUUUGCACCACCCUCAGUAUGUAUGCACUUAGUUUUAAAACUUGGGUCAAUUGGGCCAUCUUUUCCUAUAUUCCACACCUAUUUAUUUUAUACACUCACCAGCUUUUAAUUUCUUACAUAUAUGUAUAAUAAAUAUUUUAAAUAAAAUAAUUUGUUUAAAAAAACUAUAUCCAGUAAUAAGUUUUUAAUGAAAAUUUAAUUAUUUGGAAAAAUCUAAAUUAUUACUACAUCUUACCUCGCAUCCAAAAAAGUAUCAUCAAGCACAAAUGUUAGGAUUCUGCUUCAGUAUCUCAUCGUUCAGUUGCAUAUAUCUCUUCUUUAUUAUCGAUUUGUCACCUGAAACAUUGUAAACCAAUAUGAAUGUUAAUCACAUUCGUUCAACAACAUAAACUUCUUAAAUUUUGGAUUUUGAUAGAAUGAAAAUUUAAGAGGUUUCUUUUGUUUAAUGAAGAUGAUUAAGAUUGAUAUUGGUUUACAAUGUUUCAGGUUACAAUUUCAAUGAUAAAGAAGAGAUAUAUGCACCGGAACGAGGAGAAAAUGAAGCCACCACAAGCAAACACUACCAAUAGAAAAUGAAGAAAAAAAUAUCACACUCUCCAUCAUAUUUAGAAGGAUAUUUUUGGAAUUAAAAAAAUAUGGAGGUGUAAAAAGUACUGGGAGAAUAUGUGAUAAAAAAAAUAUGAUUUUUUUAUCAAAUAAAAUAAUCAAGCAAUAAAAAAAACUAAUACAAAAGGAAAUCUUUGUCAGAAGAAAAUGAUUUUUUUUUUCUCAAACAUGAAAAACCCAGCCAUUUAUGGUCUCAACCUUCUAUUGGAAGUCUGCAUUGUCUUACUUAAGAAAACGUAAUACGACGCACAAAUGUUUAAGGAUUCUUCUGACUAUGUCUUAUGUAUUAACUUUUUUAAUUAUGCAUUAAUCCAUGCUGCAAUGCACUGCACAUUGCAAUAUUUUUUUUAAGUUUUAACCCAGAUUUCAUAUAUUAGUCCACGACUGUGAAUUAAUGUAUUGGUAGAUAAAUAAUUAUUUUUUAAAAUUACAUGCUCUUAAAAAAUUGAUUUUCAUUUUACUGUAGACACAUUUAAACGUGUCAAAGAAUGGAAAGUAAAACAAAAAAAAUACAUACAAAAGGUAACUCUAAAGAGUUUUUUCACAUUGUUUUUCUUAUUAUUCAUGUUGGUAUCUUGAUUCCCUCAUUUGUAUAUACUUUAUUAAAAAUAAUUGAUAUUCUAUAAAUUGAUCAGGUUUACGAUUUAUCUUUUAUGAGAUGUGUUCAUUUUUGUUGUUAUAAUGAGUGUUAGGUAUUCAAAAUAUAUUAAAAUUGUAGUGUUCCCGAUAUAGUUUAUAUUUAUUUAUUUAUUUUUCUAUAAAAGAAUAAACCAACAAUCUUCUCAAAAAUGAAUAAAUAUACUCAAAACAUAUCGAGAAACAAAAUAUUGUAUACAUACAAGUAAAAAUAAGUUUAUACCAUAUCAAUACUACAAAAUAACAAAUAAAUUUACGAGUUUUGAAAUAAAUAAAUUAGUCGAAACCAUGGUUUGAGAAGGAAAUAAAUAAAUAAAAUAUAAAUUUUAAUUUUAAAAUAAAGAUAGCAAUAUUUCCAAUUUUAAAAGAAAGAUAGCAAUAAUUUUAAUUUUAUGUAAACUUUUUGAAAUAUUGUACUUGAUUUAUCACUUAAUAUUAUAAAUGAAGACAUUAAAAAUAUAAGAACAUGCUAUUCUAUAAGAUUUUAUAAGGUAAUAAAUUUAAAAAUAAAAUGUUGUCACUAAUCUACAAUGUUUAAAGUAAGUAAAAUGUUUUAUGUGUAAGGAGUAAAAUCAUAUACAAUAUUGUGUGAUCUUGCAACAAUAUACUAAGUGCAUCUGCUUGCCUUUAAGUUGAAAACAGCUAACAGUUCGGGAUGACUUCCCUACUUUGUAACCGAGUCGUUACUUGUUAUUAAUGACUAUUAUAAUGAAACAGUCUAAUCAAUAAGCCUUAAAUGAUGAACGACUAUUUAUGAAAAAAUGUAUAACAGUUAUAUGACCAAGUCAAGGGACUCAUAACAGUUCAUUCAAAAGAUAACACUUGAUUAAUCUAUAAACAUCUAGUCUCCAAAAAAAUACAAUCUAUCUUAUAUGAUAGUAACAUUGAUACUAACAUACUUUUAAAUACUUACUAUAUUUGUGCUCCUACUUACUCAACUCGAUCCUCUUCGAAUUACACUUCCAAACUCAUUUCAAUAAGAACUGAGCAAUGGACAUUGAUGUUGCAUUAGAGAAUAAUUAUUGUAAAAUAUUUAAAUAGUUGUUUCUAACCUAUUUAAUAAAAAUAAUUGACUACUCACGUGUAUAUAUAUGAAAUAAAAUACAUUUGUCUCUCUCUCCUUUAACUAAGUGGUUGACAUUUAUAUUUCUAUUUCUUAAUGGAUGAAUCAUUUGAAAGUUAAGAAAGUUAUUACACAUGUCAUGUUUUGUCCUUAUUUACACAUAAUCAAAACAUAUACUUAAAUUAUUUAAAAGUUGAUCAAUUAUAUAAUAUUAUAUACAUAUAAUGUUUAUUAUAAUGUUUCUAAGAUAUAAAAGAUCGGUACUUAAAAUGUUUAUUAUUAAAAUUAAUUAAUUAUAUAUAUAUAUAUAUAUAUAUAUUAUAUAAAUUUUAAUAAUAUAAUUUUUUUUACAAGAAACAAUAAAUAAAUAAGAAUUAUUUAAGGAUGGACCCAACCCUAAUAAAAAAAUAAGAAAAAAAAGAAUAUAAAAUCCCACUCCUUAACUUGCCUCAAACAACCAACAAAAACUAUCAAUAAUUUCUUAUCCAAAACCAACAAAAAAAAAACUUGCCUUUAACAACCAUCAAAAUAUAACCUCACGUCAUAAAAUACAUACCAACACUAAAAUACUAACAAUUAACUUUUAUUAUUAUUGUUGUUGCUAAAAAGGAAAUACUAAAUCACUAAAAUAUUCAAGUAUUCCCUUGAAGAGACAGUCACCCCAUGGUGUAAGUCAGGAAGAAGUCACCUCUCACAAGUAUAAUUGUUCUCAUUUAUUUAGAUAAAAUCCAAAUAAGAUGUUUAGGACAUACUAUUAUAGUUAAUAAGAUUAUAAAAAAAACGUAUACAAUAAUGAUAUCUAAAACUUAUUGUAUAAAUAGAAGAGCAUCAACCAAACUAAAAACACUUUAUUAGUAGAAAAUGGGUAGGUAGCUGGACCUUGACCGUUCAAUAAUCAUAUUCUCUUUUUGAAAUUUAUGUUAAAAUAUUCAAUGCCCACAUUUUUUGUGUUUGUAGAACUCAAUCAUGCUUCAUCAUCACCCACAAUCUCACUAAAUACAAAUUAUACAAUAAAAUAAAUAAAGACACAAACACUGAAUAUUAAGAGGCUACCCGAUGACAUGGCGCAAUUGUACCCAUUGAUUUUAGUUUCAUGUCAUUCUAGCCGUUGAUGUAAUUUAAGAGGCCACCUACCACCACAAGUGGUUUACUUUUCUAGCUGCCCUACCAAGGUUGACUGAAAGGUCAGAGAGAGACACACAAAAAGUUCAAAGCAAGUGGCACAGAUAGAAUAAUCUCAUAAGGUAGAGAUGCAUAAAAUAUCACCAAUUAUUGGUUGCUACUUUUGGAAAUGAAUGAACCAAUUAGUUAUAUGGUGGCAGAGAGAUGGUCUUCUAAACUAUGCCACCAAACCCUCGUAAUGGAAAAUGCUAUUGGUGAUGCACGUGAUACCCACCUACCCACUUCCUACAUAUAAAACGCUAACUCCUCCAACAUCUUCCAACACACAACUUCAGCAACCAAACCAACAACCCUCUCUACCACUCAAGUGCUGUGAAUUUGGUCACUUCUUUCAUCUGUCAACCAAAUCGCAGUGCUUCAUUCCGUGUUCUAAACCAUUGUCAACAUCACCACUUCAUUGGUUCUAUUCAAGAAAACUAAGAUGGUGAGUGUAUCUGAGAUCCGACAGGCUCAAAGGGCAGAAGGUCCAGCAACCAUCCUUGCCAUUGGAACUGCAACCCCAUCUAACUGUGUUGAUCAGAGCACAUAUCCCGAUUACUACUUCAGAAUCACAAACAGUGAGCACAUGACCGACCUCAAAGAGAAGUUUCAGCGCAUGUGUAAGUCCUCUCAUCUUCUCAUAUCUACCAAAAUCCUAAAUUUAACAAGUUUAUGAUGUUGAAUGAAGGUGAUUAACAUUGAUAUUGGUUUACAAUGUUUCAGGUGACAAGUCGAUGAUAAAGAAGAGAUAUAUGCAUUUGAACGAGGAGAUACUGAAGGAGAAUCCUAACAUGUGUGCUUACAUGGCACCUUCUUUGGAUGCGAGGCAAGACAUAGUGGUGGUAGAGGUACCAAAGUUAGGGAAAGAGGCUGCAGUGAAGGCCAUAAAGGAGUGGGGACAGCCAAAGUCAAAGAUUACACACUUGAUAUUUUGCACCACCAGUGGUGUCGACAUGCCUGGUGCUGAUUACCAGCUCACCAAACUCUUGGGACUUCGGCCCUAUGUGAAGAGGUACAUGAUGUACCAACAAGGAUGCUUUGCAGGAGGCACGGUUCUUCGAUUGGCCAAGGAUUUGGCUGAGAACAACAAAGGUGCCCGUGUGCUUGUGGUGUGUUCUGAGAUCACUGCAGUGACUUUCCGUGGGCCAAGUGACACCCACCUAGACAGUCUUGUGGGACAGGCAUUGUUUGGAGAUGGAGCAGCUGCAGUGAUUGUUGGUUCUGACCCAAUUCCACAGAUUGAGAAGCCUUUGUUUGAGUUGGUUUGGACUGCACAGACCAUUGCUCCAGACAGUGAUGGUGCUAUUGAUGGUCACCUUCGUGAAGUUGGACUCACGUUUCACCUCCUUAAGGAUGUUCCUGGGAUUGUCUCAAAGAACAUUGGAAAGGCACUUUUUGAGGCCUUCAACCCAUUGAACAUAUCUGAUUACAACUCCAUCUUCUGGAUUGCACACCCUGGUGGACCUGCAAUUCUGGACCAAGUUGAGCAAAAGUUGGGUCUGAAACCUGAAAAGAUGAAGGCCACUAGAGAUGUGCUGAGUGAUUAUGGGAACAUGUCAAGUGCAUGUGUGCUAUUCAUCUUGGAUGAGAUGAGGAGGAAAUCAGCUGAAAAGGGACUUAAAACAACAGGUGAAGGACUUGAAUGGGGUGUUUUGUUUGGUUUUGGACCUGGACUUACCAUCGAGACCGUCGUUCUCCACAGUGUCGCAAUAUAACACCCACACCAUUCCCUACCCUAUUGUUUCUGCAUUGAGAUUUUAUUUUUGAUUUUUUUAUGUAUUUGUUGAAAAUUUUAUUUAUAAUAUAAUAAUUAUAAGAAUUAAAAAUGUAUAAUUUUGAUUUUAUUGAUUCCAAAAUUAAUUGUGCAAAAAAUAGAAAGCAUUUUCCAAAUACUUUGCCUUUUUAUUACUUUACAUUUUUUUUUUGCAUGAAUCUUUUACCUGUCUAAUAUGAAAUAAUAAAUUAUCAUUGACAUGAAAUAAAUACUACAAUAAAUUGUCGAGAUUUUUUUAUUUUGGAAAUGACGUAAAUUUAGGGAAAUGCUUGAUAGUGGUAGUUUUCUAGCAAAAUUGAAAAGAAUAAUAAAAAAUUGAUAUCAAAUAUAUAUAAUUUGAAAGCGAUUCUAUAUAUUUAAAAAUAAUACAAAUUAGAAUGAAAAAGUGUGAUGGUGGUAGUUUUUUAACAAAAUUGAAAAGCAUAAUAAAAAGUUGUUAUAAACUGUAUUUUUCUAUUCAUUUAAUUUACAAAAGUUAAAAUUGGAAUGAAAGUGAAAAACUGGAUCGUGAAUACAACAAAACAAAGAUGAGAAAACUUGUCUGGAAUAUGUGUUAAUAUAUAAAAUUAUAAUAGAAUUUCAAUUAUAAGUUUGUAAUUGCAUCACAUGGUUAUGGAAACAUGUUCAUAGAAAACCGUGUUAGAAAUUUAUUAAUAAGAUUUACACUGAGUUUCUAAAUUUGUAGAUAAUGUUGUUAAGAAGUGAGUUUUAAGCCUAACUCAACUUCGUAAAACUGGCUUAUAAGGUGAGGUUUGCACCCACUUAUAAAGAAUGAAAUAUCUUAAUUUAUAGUUGAUGUGAGAUCUCCAACACACCCCUCACAUGUGUGAAGAUAUAUGUUAUAGGUGGUCCGAUAACGGUCCGAUAGCGGGUGACACAAUAGGCCCAACAAACACUCACUAUGAUAGGUUUUUAAAUGGCUCUGAUACCAUGUUAAGAAGUGGACUUUAAGCCUAACACAACCUCAUGAAACAAGUUCAUAAGGUGAGCUUUGCACCCAAUUAUAAAGAAUAGAAAAAACUUUCAAAAUUGAGUGUAAGUUGCACCCAAUUGAGUGUAGAGACAUGCUUAGUGAGAAAAUUGUAUAAAAAAAUUAGCCCAUUAAGAUAGGAUUGAUCCUCAAAGGUGUGGGAGACACGUUGCUUAGAAAUUUCAAUAAAUGUUCACCCAUAACAUUUUGAUUGAGUUCACAUGAGUAAGACGCAAUUAUGUAGAAAAUUACAUCAAAAAAAAUUUCAUAGGGGUGUAAUUAUGCAACAUCAAUGCGAGAACUAUCAAUAAAGUUAUAUUAUGUGUUUGGCGUAUUCUAACUGGGAAAAUUGCAACCUAUGAUAAUCUAUUACAUAGAGGAAUUUAGAGUGGUGGGGGGAUGUGUGUCAUGUGUGGGAUUGAGCUAGAAACAGUAAAUCAUCUUUUCUUUACAUGCAAAGUAGCUUCUAAAGUGUGGUGUAUGUCUGAUGUGUGGGUUGGUAGAGUUUUUGUACAUUGUGAUAAUACUACUCAACAUUUUGAACAUAUUGGCUUUAUGGACCUAAAUUAUGUGGGUAAUUGUGUUUGAAAGUGUAUGUGGACAACCAUUAUUUGGGGAAUUUGGAAUCAUAGAAAUAAGAUUAUUUUUAAUAAUGGAGUGGUAGAUCCUUUUGAAACUUUUGUUAUGGCACAAGUAAAGGUGUGGGACAUGGGUAACUUAUAAAUUCCCAAAAUCAAACUUCUCUUAUUCUGAUUGGUGCUUUGAUGUAUAUGAAAGUUUGAAAUCACUACAUUGAUGGUUAACUAUCUUCCUCCUCUUUUAUGGUGGGUUCUAUUUUGGAUGAGAACACAUAUUGCUGAGUGUGAUUCAACCUCUGAUACUGGGGAGGAGCAAAGAACCAACAUACCUUUGUGGAGAUGUCAUGCCUUAUAUCCUGGACAUGGGUUAUGUUGUUGCCUUAUUUUUUGUAUUAUAGUAAGCUGGAUAUGUACAAAUUUUGGCUAAGAACUAGGCGUAUUGUACGUGGAUUGGAGUACCCAAGUAUUCUCAUUUAUAUUAUUUUUUAUUGUUAAUUAAAACAAAAGUGUUUAGAUCUAACAAUUGAGACACCAAAUCAUUGAAAAAACACAAUUUUUAUGAUAAAAAAUUCUUUGCAUAAGAGCGAAGAUUUAUGCAAAUUAUAGUCAUUUUUUUAUGCAAAUUGUAGUCAUAAUAAAUUAUAUUCUUAUUCAUAACCGAUUAUGUUGGUCUUUCAUAAUCGAUACGUCUUGAACAUAAUUGAUUGAUGUUGGUUAAUUUUUUAUUAAUAUUUAUGUUUUUAUUUAUUAUAAUAAAAUAAAUAAAUAAUAUAAUAUUAUUAAAAUUAAAAAUUAAAAAAAUCAAUCAUAUCUGCAACUUUAUACUCAAAUAUAUUUAUUUUUCUUUAAUCCAAACCACCUAUUUUUUUAUUGUUUUUCUCAUCAUUUUGUUUCUUUCUCCACUUCCAAUCAAAACAAAUUGUGUUUAGAUUAAGAAAAGGAUGAAAAAGGUAAAAAAAAAAAAGGAUAAAAAGAGUGAGGAAAGUGAGAUUGUAGAUCGAGUGAAAGUGAGUAAAUUUUUUUUAAAGAUUUGAUUGUGAUAGAAUAAAUUUAUUGUGUAUAAAUGCAUAUAGAAAAUAGUUUAUGGAAUCAAUUUUUAAAAAAUUGAAUGUAAAAAAUAAACUUCUUUGAAUUUGUAAAUUAAAGUCAAAAUAAAUUUUAAAUUACACUAUAAGCAAAGCAUAAAACCUAAAAAACCACUUAUACUUUGGAAAAGAUUAUUUCAUGUUUGAUUCUAUCAUUCGUACUUAAGACUCAAAAGUGAUUCUUCCUCAACCAAUUCUACUUGCACAUCUUCAUCUGUCACUUGGUUAAAGAUAAAAUUAAUUAUUAUAUUCACUAAAUUAUAUAUUAUUUCAAAGACUAAAAACUUUAUUAGUAUCUAAAAUAAUUGAUAUUAUUAAUAAAUAAUUUUUAAAUUAAUAUUUAAUUAGUUAAUAGAAAAAUUUAGGUAACAAAUUUUUAAAAUAUAAAGUACGAAAAAAAUGCAUUAAAAGAAUGUUAUUAAAAAAUAUGAUAUAAAUAGAAGAGCAAACUAGAAAAUGGUAGCUCCAAUAGGUUGACCGUUGAAGAAUGAACUAACCACUUUGAAUUUUAAUUUAAAAUAUUGAGUGGAAAAAUUCUUUUAUGGGUUCAUAGAACUUAAUGCUGCUUGACGAUGACAAACGAAGUAACCAACAGGAGAGAAUAUACAAUAAAAUAAUAUGAAGAAUUAGUGGUCUCUGAUUUUAUUGGGAUUUCAUUGUGACCGUUCGAUUACUUCACCUGCAACCUACCAACACUAUUGCCUCCGGUAUCUUCCUGCGCUACCACCGUUCACUCCAUUAACGUUACAAAAGUGUGUUAAUUAUUUAGGAAAAUAUACUUUACAGCUCUUAAAGUUCUAAACAACUUUUGAUUAAAACUAGUAAAACUAAAUAACAGCAUUAGCAUAAAUUAACCCUGGAUUAAAAAAGUCAACCCACAGCAUCUGUAGUUGAUGGACGGUAGGAGAAUAAUUCAUUCAACAUUUUCACUCCAAAGCCAAGUUCGACGCACACGUGAUAAAAUAUCACCAAUUAUUGGUUGGUCAAUUCAAAGAUAGAUGACGAGUUAACGGAGUUAGAGAUGGUCUUCUAAACCGAACUUCUCAUAUGUCACAAACUACCACAUGGAAACUAUACAACAUGUGCUUUCGACGAAAGGUGGAAAUUGGUCAUACACGUGAUGCUCACCUACUCUUCUUCCUAUCCACCCUCCAUGCAUAUAAAACGCUAACUCCUCCAACAUCUUCAAACACACAACUUCAGCAACCAAACCAACAACCCUCUCUACCAUCGAAAACAUCACCACUUCAUUACUUCUAUUCAAGAAAACUAAGAUGGUGAGUGUAUCCGAGAUCCGCCAGGCUCAAAGGGCAGAAGGCCCAGCAAACAUCCUUGCCAUUGGAACUGCAACCCCAUCAAACUGUGUUGAUCAGAGCACAUCCCGAUUACUACUUCAGAAUCACAAACAGUGAGCACAUGACCGACCUCAAAGAGAAGUUCCAGCGCAUGUGUAAGUCCUCUCAUCUUCUCAUAUCUACAAAAAUCAGAAAUCUAACAAGUUUAUGAUGUUGAAUGAAGAUGAUUAAUAUUGAUAUUGGUUUAAAAUGUUUCAGGUGACAAGUCGAUGAUAAAGAAGAGAUAUAUGCACCUCAACGAGGAGAUACUGAAGGAGAAUCCUAACAUGUGUGCUUACAUGGCACCUUCUUUGGAUGCGAGACAAGACAUAGUGGUGGUAGAGGUACCAAAGUUAGGGAAAGAGGCUGCAGUGAAGGCCAUAAAGGAGUGGGGACAGCCAAAGUCAAAGAUUACACACUUGAUAUUUUGCACCACUAGUGGCGUGGACAUGCCUGGUGCUGAUUACCAGCUCACCAAACUCUUGGGACUUCGGCCCUAUGUGAAGAGGUACAUGAUGUACCAACAAGGGUGCUUUGCAGGAGGCACGGUUCUUCAAUUGGCCAAGGAUUUGGCUGAGNNNNNNNNNNNNNNNNNNNNNNNNNNNNNNNNNNNNNNNNNNNNNNNNNNNNNNNNNNNNNNNNNNNNNNNNNNNNNNNNNNNNNNNNNNNNNNNNNNNNNNNNNNNNNNNNNNNNNNNNNNNNNNNNNNNNNNNNNNNNNNNNNNNNNNNNNNNNNNNNNNNNNNNNNNNNNNGAGCUGGUUUGGACUGCACAGACCAUUGCUCCAGACAGUGAUGGUGCUAUUGAUGGCCACCUUCGUGAAGUUGGACUCACGUUUCACCUCCUUAAGGAUGUUCCUGGGAUUGUCUCAAAGAACAUUGGAAAGGCACUUUUUGAGGCCUUCAACCCAUUGAACAUCUCUGAUUACAACUCCAUCUUCUGGAUUGCACACCCUGGUGGACCUGCAAUUCUGGACCAAGUUGAGCAAAAGUUGGGUCUGAAACCUGAAAAGAUGAAGGCCACUAGAGAUGUGCUUAGUGAUUAUGGGAACAUGUCAAGUGCAUGUGUGCUUUUCAUCUUGGAUGAGAUGAGGAGGAAAUCAGUUGAAAAUGGACUUAAAACAACAGGUGAAGGACUUGAAUGGGGUGUUUUGUUUGGUUUUGGACCUGGUCUUACCAUCGAGACUGUUGUUCUCCACAGUGUUGCAGUCUAACACCCACACCGUACCCUAUUCUAUUGUUUUAUUAUGUACCAAUUUUAAAACUUGUUGAAGGUUGUAAUUUGCAUUAAAAUGAUACACGUGGUUUAAAAAAAUUGUUUGUUGACAAAUAAAUUGUUUGUUGACAAAUAAAUUGUUUUUUUAUUUAUUUAAAUCUAGCAAAAUAAUAAUAAGAUAAUUAGAUAUUUCAGAUUUGGAAGAUAACAAAAGAAUACAUGAGAACAAAGAGUUGCCUAAAAACAGUAUUUGCAAAGUUAUGAGAGUUGGGUAAAAAAAUAGGAUUUACAUGUAUGGGAGCAGCAAGAUGUCAUUAAAGAAAUCGAAACUAUGAGACUAAGAGAUAAAACAUUUAAUGUAUCGGGGAGGAACAAGAUGUCAUUAAAGAAAUAGAAAAUAUGGAACUAAGGAACACUUGAUUUUGGCUUAUUGGUGAUAAAAAAGAAGAAGGAUAAAACACUUAAAACAAAUACGGAAGAGAGGAGAACCAAUGUCACAAAUGAAAGUUAAUACCAUUAAAUAUAUAUAAGAGAAUUAAGGGAAACAAUAAAUAUAUAUCUAGGGACUUAAUCCAAAAUGAAGGGAAACAUGUGCGAAAGCACAAAGAGCUCUAGCCCCAAUGAUUCAAUUUUGCUUUCAUUAAAAGAAAUUUAGGGAAAUUAUGAAAUAUGAAAUAAUGGAGGGGUCCAAUUCUUCUAAAAUAAUGAGAUAUUUUCAAGGGAAACAAAUGCAACAUUUUUAACACUCGUACCAAAAACCCCUUUGGUUUAAAUGAAUAUAAGUCAAUCUCAUUAGUUUGAAGUUUGCAUAAAAUUAUAGCCAAGGAGUUAUCCUUCAAGUUAAAGGCAAUUUUAAACAAGGUCAUAAUUCAUCUCAUGCAACUUUUAUUGAGGGAGGAGGAAGGAUACACAGCAGUGUGGUAGUUGCGUAAUUAUUAAAGUAGAUUUUGAAAAUGCAUAUAAUACUGUAAGAUGGGAAUCUAUCUAAGAUAUGAUGAGACGAUUAUGAUUGCAAGAUACAUUGAUCAAUUGGAUGAAAGGGGUGUUGGGAAUCAACAACCAUUUCAAUUAUGGUCAAUGAAAGUCCCACCACAAAAUUUAAGCCUACAAUUCUUAUUCUUAAUUGCAGCUGAAGGAUUAAAUGAGAUAAUUAGACAAAAAAAUUAGGAGGAAUAUGUUAGAAGGGAUAAAAAUUGGAAAGAAGGAUAUAUAUUACAGUUGAUGGCACAAUUUUCAUGGUAAAGGAUGAUUUUAAGAAUAUAUUUUUUAUCAAGGUUAUUUUAAGAUGUUUUGAACUUGCACUUAGGGUUAAAGAUCAAUUUUAUGAAUUAUUUUUCAAAUCAUUUAAAUUGUAGUCAUAUGAAUAUUCCAUUUAUAUACUUGGGAAUGGUUGUAGGGUGAAACCCUAGAAAAACAGGUCUAUGGCAAGGGCUAGUUAAUAAAAUUAAGAAUAGACUGAGGAGAUGGAAAGGGAGAGUUUUGUCUUUUACAGGAAGGAAGAGUGAGUCUGUUAAAAUCUGUAAUCUCUUAACUACCAUUAUAUUACAUUUCCUUCUUCAAAAUUCCAAAAAAUACCAGGAAUCGAAUUAAAACCAUAGAAAGGAUUUUUCAUAGGAUUGAGUAUAUGAUACCAAAAAGAUAGUUUGGGUCAAGUGGGAUGAUGUAUGCGAGCCAAAGGAAGGGGGUCUAGGAGUUAGAGACAAAAUUAUUUAAUAAAGCACUAUUAGCCAAAUGGAAAUGGAGGUUAGGAUCUACGAACCAUAAUGGGCUUUGGAAAAGUAUUCCAAAAUUAAAAUAUGGCUUGUGGAGAAAUUUGAAUUAGUGUGGAAAAAAGGGCAUAGUCAUGAUGGUGGAAAGACUUGAGAGAGGUGUGUGGAAAAAUGGCAUGUGGAAUGGUUUGAUAGAGUUAAUAUAUUUUUUGGGAAGAUAGAUGGUGUGGAGAAUUCUUCCUUAUGCACAAAUAUCCUAGAAUAUAUGGGGAUGCAGUUGUCAAAAGUGCAACAAUUAAGGAGGUUGGGAGAUGGACAAGGAAUAAAUGAGAAUGAAGUAUACAAUGGAUAAGAGUUUGGUUUGAAUGAGAAAAAGUAUAAUGCAUAGAGUUUAUCCAAGACAUAAACAAACUCAACAUUCACAAGGAAGGAUGUGAUGAUUUGGUGUGGAAGGAUGAUGAGGUGGAUGAGUACACAAUAAAAUCAGCAUACAAAAAGUUAGUGAGAGUUUAUAUUGGGGAGUAUAAUGAUUUUUUUUAAACUAUUUUGGAGAACAAAGGCUCAACCAUCUACACACCAUAUUGCUUGGAAAGUAAUCAUAGGUAGAAUCCCAAUAUUGGAAAAUCUAAGCAAUAGAGGUGUCUAAUAGUUGUAGUUUUUCUGUCAAAUUAAAAUUAUUCCAAUGUAAAUCGUCUAACUAGUACUAGACCGUCUAACGUCAGAAAGAUAAUAGUAUAAUUGUUGUCAGAUGACCCCAAAUUAUCCCCAACAAAUAUAAUGAAAAGAACAUAUAUAAAACAAAGUAUGAAAUAUCAUACAAUAUAAUGGAAAAUAAUAAAAACAAAAGGUAUUAUUAUAUAUUAUUGCAUGAAAGUCAAAACAAAAAAACAUCAUCAUUCUAAGUGACUUUCCCUUUCAAUCUUUGCAUCUUGGAAGGUGGAGAGAAAUCACUUCACGAAUUCACUCUUCCUCAUUUCGUUCGCAUCCCUUAUUUCAAACCAUGAAUAUCUCCUUAAAUUAUUAUAAAUCCUUAAAAGAGACAUAAUUUUUUUAAUACAUAUAUCUUUUAUUAAUUUUGGAAUCAAUAAAAUAAAAAGUAUACAUUCUUAAUUUUUAUAAUUAUUAUUCUCAAUAUUAUAAAUAAAAUUUUCAAAAAAUACAUAAAAAAAGUUAAAAAUAAAAUCUGAAUGCGGAAACAACAUGGUAAGGCAUGGUGUGAGUGUUAUAUUGCGACACUGUGGAGAACGACUGUUUCGAUAGUAAGUCCGGGUCCAAAACCAAACAAAACACCCCAUUCAAGUCCUUCACCUGUUGUUUUAAGUCCCUUUUCAGCUGAUUUUCUCCUCAUCUCAUCCAAGAUGAAUAGCACACAUGCACUUGACAUGUUCCCAUAAUCACUCAGCACAUCUCUAGUCGCCUUCAUCUUUUCAG